UUUCUACCGAUUUCACACAUUUUUCACGUUCUAUUAGGAUUUUAUACUUACCUCCAUUAACAGAUUCUUUCAAAAACACAUAUACUCAUUUUCGCGCAUCUCCUUCAAUAAGAUUUUCCACUGCCUUUCACUACUGCCAACAUUUGCUUCCAAUCUGGUCCCUCCACCGCCGCUAGCCACCUUUUCUACUUCAUCUUUGGAGAUUCUUCUGUUCCAUUUCUUGCCGACUUUCGACCGUUCUUUCCCACCUCCGCCAUCCCUUACUUAUGUCGGUACAAUAAAUCUCUUCCAUCAUCUUCUAAAUCAACUACGCUUCCACCUCACAUACCAAACCCCCCUGCUUAACGUUGUUCCUCUAAACCCCUCUCAUACUCAAAUUCCCCUUGACUUGGAGUAGACGGGAUUUCCGAGAAACGAUCAUCCCUUACUGUGCUCGCCUCUGCUUUCUCCCCAACCACCAUCGAAUCUAUUAUAUUCAUGUUCCUUGAUCUCCACCAGAAUUCUAUACCCAUUCCAAAUUCCACCAAAAACAGAUGCAUUUCGCAACCACGGUUAGCGUUUCUGUUGCAAUAUGUUGGUAUAUGGUGCUCAAAAGGGAGGAGUGGACAGAGACUAUGCAGAGAAAACUAUCAUCCUGCUUUCCUUGCCACCUGCUUCUCUCUUCCCCUUACUUAAACUUAAUUGGGUUCCGUUCAUUUUGGACAAGACAUUAAGAAGGUACCUACCUAUGUAGCCUCCAUGCUAUACCAAGAAAACACUUCAGUUAUACCCACCCACCAACUGCUCGACAAAAUGUCCGGACCAUAUUUUUUUAAUUUUUUUUCAAAUAUAUGAUUCAUGGAUUGAAGAACUUUGAUUCCUUAUGCCUACGACAAUACAGAGACAAGUUUUACUAAUUCUAUUCUCUUCAAUUCUUGGCUAUAUAUAUUCACCACAUUUGGAUUAUGCUCCAUUAAGAUGAGUUCAUUUUGCCCAUGGACUACUUCUCUUCUUGUACCAGGUUCCUUUUAGAUAUAUUAACCUCGGAAUCAGUUGUUAUAACUUUUGGUAUAAAGCUUCAUUGAUUUACUUCCAAAUUUCUCUGUGCUGUAUGUUCUCUUUAAUCCUCAAUUUUUCUACUCCUUUCUUAAGUGAUAUAUUCAAUUUAUAAUUUCUUGAUUUGUAAUUGAGUUGGAGGCUUUGGCCUUUGGAAGCACUGCUAUGUGUGGAAGAAUAAGUUUUGGUUUUGGGUAAUUUCACAUGUUCCAUUAUAUUAUCAAAUAUACGUUUUCUGUGACUUUAUGUUGGCCAAGAGUGUGACUUUACCAUAAUGCCCUUUUAUUAUAAGUUGGUUAUUUCUCAUCACAAUUGCAAUAUUUGACUUACAUGUAAGCUAAGAACAUGGUUUGGUUAUUUGUCAGUGUAUCUACACAUCAUUCAACAAAGACACAAUAGGGAAAUCUCAUGAAGACCAUUCACUAGAAUCGUUUUUUUUUUUUGUUGGAGCAAAAGGGACCGCAGAUUGAAUGACUAGAUUUGGGAUGAUGGGAACUCACUUGGACCUAAAGAGGUCCACAAUUAUCUCACUAGGGUCAUAUACAAUCGCCACAACAAGUUUAACCUUUAUGAUAUUCCAUUAUAAUUGGUGGAGUAAAAAACGGCCACAAAUAUCUAGGAUCGGUGAGUAUGAUCGGUGUACAUUUUGAGGACGAUCAUGUGGUAACUAGAUUUGGGAAUCACCUGCCACUCCCAAUACUUCCUGAGGAAUGGAGGGGGGGUUUGACUUUUUAGGAGGGUGUCAAAAUAAGCUUCAGUUAGCAAAGAUCACGGAUGAAGUGUCGUUUUCAGCCUAGUUAAAUAGAAUGCAGGUAUUAUGUUCUUAAGUUCAUAAGUUCAUGAAAACGGUUAUUGAUGAAGGACUUGAAGUGUUGAAUAACAAAUUUUGGAAGAAGAAUGAAUAUACAGAUGUCGAGCUUGAUACAGUGCGUGAAGAAUGGGAAACUUAUGCCAUAAACUUUAGGGUAAAUUAUACAAAUAGUCCCUAUGGUUUGAAGUAAUCUGCAUGGUUGGUCCCUAAGAAGUGUUUUUAACUAAGAAUGUCCCUAUUAUUUCUUUUUGUUACGUUUUUAGUCCCCGUUUGACCUAAAAUGACCUUUUUACCCUUAUUAAUUUCUUUUUUUAUUUGCUUAUCAUUUACUAUUUUAUAAUUUAACAAAUACAACCAUUGGGUCCUACCUACCUGAAAUCCCGUCCACCUAAUCCAUCCACCCCCACCCCCCCAUCCCUCAUCGCCCUCUUCGUUGAGUCCUUCACCUCCAGCAACCCACUACCACCUCUUUUAUUUUCUUCGUCAAGAUCACCGACAUGUCCUGCCCCAAAAAAACAGAUACAAGUGUUGCCCCAAAAAAUCUCAAAUAUAAUCAACUGACAAAUAUAGUCGAUAUACAGAGUAACAAAUUUCAGUGAGCAGCUUUUCAAUAAUCAAAAGAAAUGUUAUUCCCUCUCUUCUCUCAUACCCUUCCUCCCUUCCCCUUUAUUCUCUACCUACCUGCAACUCCCCUAUUGAUUAAAUAUUAUAACUAAAGAACAAAAAAAAAACAUUUCUCCAACCAUGCCAAAUUAGAAGAAACACACAAUCGAAAUUGAUUUUACCCUUGGUGAUGACGAUGGUAUAUUGCAAGUAAGGGGAGGUUCUCUUUCGACAUAAAAAAUAUGGAUUGUUGUCGAAACCUAUCGACAUUGAGAUGCCGAAAUAACCACCAUAUGCACUUUGAACUCAUCGGUUUGCAACAUCUGGUUUGUUUUAGGGAUUCAGGUGGCUUUCGAGUUAUUUUUUGAAAAACAUUGGUGGGUUUUGAUUAGGCGCUCUGGUUUUGUUUGAUGCUUUGGUUUGAUGUGUAGUAGUCUCGAUUUGACUAUUGGCAUAGGAUUUGAAAACAAGAUUUCAUCAAAGUUAAGGUUUAGAUGCUUAGGAAGAAGAUGGGGUAAGUGUAUUUUUCUGACCACCACCACUCCAUCGUUCGAUUGCAGAUCGAAGAUACACCGAAGUUGAGAUAGAGAUACGAUGCAGCAGGUGAACCAGAGAUGAGAUGAGAGAAGCUUGAUGAUGUGAAGUUGAAAAAUGGUUGGUUCGCCGGAACAAUCCAAGACAACAACAUCUAUUUGUGGGUUCUUUCCAUCUUGAUUGACUUGAGAAACAAAGAGUUCAGAAGAAAAAGAUAGGUUGGCUAGGGGUAGGUGGGUACGGUGGUGGUGGGUUUUUUUUUUUCCUUUUUUCUUUUAAUUAUAAAAUAAAUGAUAAGUAAAUAAAAAAGAAACUAAGGGUAAAAAAGUCAUUUUAAAUCAAAUAGGGACUAAAGACGCAACAAAAACAAACAAUAGGGAUCUUCCGAGUUAAAAAAAACUUUUUAGGGACCAACCAUGCAAAUUACCCGAAACCACAGGGACCAUUCGUGUAAUUUACCCUAAACUGACAAUUACUUUUUGAUGAAGUUGGAAUGUAUUUUUGAAGUUGAUACUAGGGAUGAGAUUUAGAACCGGAAAACCGGACCGGAACCGGAACCGAACCGGAACCGGACCCGUUAGAACCGGAAUAUAUAGAACCGGGUCCGGUUCCGGGUUUAAAAAUUGGCUUUAUCCGGGUUUCGGGUAAUCCGGGUUUGGGUCCAUUGGGUCCGGGUAAACCGGGUCUAAAAUCCGGAACCGGUUUUUGGAACUGGAACCACUUUUAGGGCCGGAACCACUUUUUGUGAAACGUUUAGAAGAUGCAUAUCUUAUUCGUUUCAACUCCAAUUGACACACGAUUUUUUCCAACAUGUAGUUUAGAGUUUGUACAUGAUUCUAGACUAUAAAUUUUUCAUUUUUAGUUUUAUAUUCAUUGACUUACAGUCCUCAAAAGCUGAGAUACCAAAGCUGAAAGUUUUUAGUUUUUUAGUUUUUUUAUAUUCGGUGAAAGUUUUAAAGCAUGCAUAUCUAAUUCGUUUGAAGUCGGAUUGACAUGUGGUUUUUUCCAACUUCUAGUUUACAGUUUGUACAUGAGUUUAGACUAUAAUUUUGUCAUUUUUGGUUUAACAUUCAAUGAUUUACAGUCCUCCGAAGUCGGGAUAUCAAAACUGAAAAUUUUCAACUUUUCAGCUAUUUGUUUUUGUACUUUGUAUUAUGUGAAAAUAUUAACACAAGUAUAUCUCAUUCGUUUAAAUUCGGAUUGACAUGCGGAUUUUUCCAGAGUGUAUUUUAGAGUUUGUACAUGAUUUUAGACUCUAAUUUUGUUAAUUGUGGUUUCGUAUUCAAUAAGGUACAGCCCCCCAAAGUGGGGAUAUCAAUAUGAAAAUUUUCAAAGUUCAACCCACUAAGUUGUAAGUAAUUACCAAAAAAUUCCGGUUUUUUCGGGUUUUCCGGGUCUAAACCCACUUUAUCCGGUUCCAACCUACCCACUUUGAUGUUUCCGGGUUUUACGGUUCUAGACCCACUUUACCCGGAACCAUACCCGGAACCGAACCGGAACCGGUUCCUAUAUACCGGUCCGGUUUCCGGUUCUAUAAAAUCCCGUUAACCGGUUCCGGGUUUUCCGGGUCCGGGUCCAUUGGGUCCGGGUUUGGACCCACUUUCAUCCCUAGUUGAUACUAUUGUUCGUGUAAUUUAGACUAUAAGUUUUUAAUUUAGUUUGA